AUGGGGGGCGGAGUGUCGGGGCGGCGGGGGGCGGGGGGACGGGCGGGGGCGGGGCGGGUUGGGGUCAGAGAGAGGAGAGGGGAUGGGGGGCGGAGUGUCGGGGCGGGGAGCCGGGACGGGCGGGGCGGGAGCGGGAGCGGGAGCGGGAGCGGGAGCGGGAGCCGGGCCGGGGAGGGUCGGGGUCCGAGAGGGGAGAGGGGAUGGGGGGCGGAGUGUCGGGGCGGGGGGGUGGAGAGCGGAGCCGGGACGGGCGGGGCCGGGGGCGGGCGCGAGUCUCGGUGGCCGGGACCCCGCGCCCCGCCCUGGUGUAGCGGCGGGGCCCGACGCCGAGUCCCGCGCCAUCACCGCAUAAAAUCUUGCAAACCUCCGCGGGGCCGGUCCUGGGCGGGGCGCCCGGCCUCCGACCGAAGCUGCGGAGCGCGGGCUGCGGGGCCGCCGAGGGGCUGUGCCGCCUCCCCCCGGGUCCCAGCGUCGCUUUCCUGGCGGCGGGCGUGGUGCCCGCGUCAGAAGCCAAGGCCACCGAGGCGUCGCUCUCCGUCUCAGGGCCCUGCACCUGUGGGCACGUCUCAGGGCCCUGCACCUCUGGGCAUGUCUCUGCCCUGCACCUGUGGGCACGUCUCUGCCCUGCACCUGUGGGCACGUCUCAGGGCCCUGCACCUCUGGGCAUGUCUUUGCCCUGCACCUGUGGGCACGUCUCUGCCGUGCACCUGUGGGCACGUCUCAGGGCCCUGCACCUCUGGGCAUGUCUCUGCCGUGCACCUGUGGGCACGUCUCUGCCCUGCACCUGUGGGCACGUCUCAGGGCCCUGCACCUCUGGGCAUGUCUCUGCCCUGCACCUGUGGGCACGUCUCUGCCCUGCACCUCUGGGCAUGUCUCUGCCGUGCACCUGUGGGCACGUCUCAGGGCCCUGCACCUCUGGGCAUGUCUCUGCCGUGCACCUGUGGGCACGUCUCAGGGCCCUGCACCUCUGGGCAUGUCUCUGCCGUGCACCUGUGGGCACGUCUCAGGGCCCUGCACCUCUGGGCAUGUCUCUGCCGUGCACCUGUGGGCACGUCUCAGGGCCCUGCACCUCUGGGCAUGUCUCUGCCGUGCACCUGUGGGCACGUCUCAGGGCCCUGCACCUGUGGGCACGUCUCUGCCGUGCACCUGUGGGCACGUCUCAGGGCCCUGCACCUGUGGGCACGCCGUGCGAACUCAGGUCACACCUUCCCGCUGACCUCUAAGGUGUGGCCGGUCGCCCCUGUCUGCGCAUUAUCGUGGAGACUGAAGAGGGUGGAUGCGAAGCCCCGAGCUCGGGCUGACGCUUAG
rnacentral:lncRNA from 12 species